CACGUAGGGGGCGAGCGUUGUCCGGAAUCAUUGGGCGUAAAGAGCUCGUAGGCGGCUCAGUAAGUCGGGUGUGAAACCCCCAGGCUCAACCUGGGGACGCCACCCGAUACUGCUGUGGCUAGAGUCCAGUAGGGGAGUGUGGAAUUCCCGGUGUAGCGGUGAAAUGCGCAGAUAUCGGGAGGAACACCAGCGGCGAAGGCGGCACUCUGGGCUGGAACUGACGCUGAGGAGCGAAAGCGUGGGUAGCAAA
rnacentral:rRNA from 2 species